AGCAAAGAUGAGGUUAUGGCUGCUUUUUCAUACUUGUGCUACAGUUGCAGGGAGAGAAUUUCAGCAUAGCAGGUUCUCUCCAUGCACUAUUUUUGUCCAUUGGUGUGUAUUUAUUUUAUGUGUCUGUUUAUAUAGGCAAAAUAUAGGAAAUCCAUAUGUCACAGCAUGCCUUAUUUGUGCACAUAUAAACAUAUGUAGGAUCAAAUAUAACAUCUCCCUUUCCUGAUACAUAUGUACUCCCACACGUGGAAACAGACGGUUUCUCUCAGUUCAUUUCUGCCUCGUGGCAGCCUUUCUUAAACAAAAUCUGAACCCAAGUGGGUGGGACCAGCAGGUUCAGACCUGCAAUGAAGGGAGAAUUUGGAAGGGGGAUCUUAAACAACCUUCUUUGGUUGCCACUAAAACAUCCUGUCCUUCCCACACCGCCUGAUCUCCUCCAUGGAGAGGUAGGCUGGAACGCCGACCCAUGUCUUGGUGGUGGCGAAACGAGUGAGCACAAUUUCUGCAUUUAGGCCCAAGGGGAGCCGUGCAGCGCAAGGCCGGCGGUUCAUACACCAUGCGUGCACAUAGUGCUGGCCAUGGCCAGAGCCCGCAGUUCCAACAGCCCGACGCACGACGUGAACAGGCACUUCGGGCCAGCGAGGCGGGCAGGGCGGCUGCCGGGAAGGCCUGUGGGGAUCUCGCUGCGGCCCCACGCGCGGCCCUGGGGGGAGCAGCCACGGGGCACAGCGGCGGCCGCUAGGGGGGGACCUGGCUCGGAGUGCGGCGCGGCGCGGGGUGCGGAGGGGGGGAGGCCCGGCCGCGGAUACUCGAGCGGCGGGGACUGCCCGUGCCGCCUCUUCCUCACAGCGCUCGGAUAAAUGGGGAUGCAUCUGAAUGUGUGGAGGUGUGCACAUGUGCCCAUGUACACGAGCAAGUAGCGUAGACACGGAGUCUGAAGCAUGCAGGAAACUGUAGAGCUGUGAUCGAGAGUGGCAUGAUAUUUCCUUCAAAACACUGGUAUUUGGACCAUUUAAUUAUGUAAAUAUUAACUGUGUUUUUCAUGUUUGCCCUUUUGUUUUUCUUUCUUUCUCAGCGUCUUUUCCUACAUGCUUGGUAAGACAAUUUCUAAAAAGUUAAAUGACUCUAAUGCAACUGAACCCAGGUUCGGAACUAUUCCUAGCAAACCAAUUACAGUUGUGACUUUGUGGUAAUUUGCAAUGAGUUGUUGUACACUGCUAGGAUUCUCCCUCUGCACGUACAGCCAGCAGCCUGCUUGUGAACAUUGCAGCAGAGCUGUGCCAUUGACCUGCCUCUCCUUCAUAAGGCCAAAGUCUGUCCUUUUGAUGCCAUGCUGUGUAAAUUGCAUUUUAAAAUUAUUCCUCUUGUUUCAAAGGAGUGGGAGUAUCCUUGCAAAAUCCAUGAGAAUGUGUAUGUUAGAAAUAAAAGAAAUUCUCUUUGGGAAAAUAACACAUAUUGUCAUUACAGUGACUUCUCUGUUGGAGCUUUGCUGGUAUGGCUCUACUGGGAAAGUCUCCAUAGGGCAUCUCAGCUUCUUGUCAGGGCUUCCUGUGACCAGCACAGCUACCUAUACUGUGGACCAGUCCCUACGCUCCCCUCCAGUCUUGGUGGGACUACGCAAAUACAAAUGCUUCCUGCCUGUUUGUCCUCCCAGCACUCUUGGGACACACAGAGGUCAGCAGCCUUACUCAUGCCACACCAUUGGAGAGAUGGGAGAGGAGGAGGUCACCCAAGACCUGCAGUGAGCCCAUGGCAGAGCGUGGAGCAGAUCUGUUCAGUUUCUGCUUGCUCUUGCAGACCUUUCUUUUUUUUGGCACCGCCCCAAACUCAUCCUGCGGUUCAUGAACCUUAACAAACCUUUCAAUGAAGCUUGUCUGGGUUUUGGAUUGGUAAAGAAAUUUGAAACCAGGCAAGGUUUUGUGUUGGUGUGUGCUGCACUGUGAAAAUUUCACAUGCCUGUUUUUCACCCCACUUGUUCGGCCAUAAUACCACGGCACAGCAGGCCAGAAAAGUGCAGGUUUUACUGAACAGCACAGUUUAUAAGUAGAAGGUGUUGAGA